GUGGGGAAUAUUGGACAAUGGGCGCAAGCCUGAUCCAGCCAUGCCGCGUGAGUGAUGAAGGCCUUAGGGUUGUAAAGCUCUUUCAGUGGGGACGAUAAUGACGGUACCCACAGAAGAAGCCCCGGCUAACUUCGUGCCAGCAGCCGCGGUAAUACGAAGGGGGCUAGCGUUGUUCGGAUUUACUGGGCGUAAAGCGCACGUAGGCGGAUCGUUAAGUCGGGGGUGAAAUCCUGGAGCUCAACUCCAGAACUGCCUUCGAUACUGGCGAUCUUGAGUCCGGAAGAGGUGAGUGGAACUCCUAGUGUAGAGGUGGAAUUCGUAGAUAUUAGGAAGAACACCAGUGGCGAAGGCGGCUCACUGGUCCGGUACUGACGCUGAGGUGCGAAAGCGUGGGGAGCAAACAGGAUUAGAAACCCGCGUAGUCC
rnacentral:rRNA from 1 species